rnacentral:rRNA from 1 species
GCACGGGUAGUAACACGUACUAACCUACCUUCGAGUGGGGAAUAACCUGGGGAAACCCGGGCUAAUACCGAUAAUACCUACGGGUCAAAGGAGCAAUUCGCUUAAGAGGGGGGUCGCGGCAGAUUAGUUAGUUGGCGGGGUAAUGGCCCACCAAGACGAUGAUCUUGUAUCCGGCCUGAGAGGGCGCACGGACACACCUGGAACUGAAACACGGUCCAGACUCCUACGGGAGGCAGCAGUGGGGAAUUUUGCGCAAUGGGGGAAACCCUAACGCAGCAACGCCGCGUUGAGGAUAAGUCCCUUGGGGACGUUAAACUUCCUUUCGACCGGGACGAUUUUGACCGGUACCGGAUGAAGAAGCCCCGGCUAACUUCGUGCCAGCAGCCGCGGUAAUACGAGGGGGGCGAGCGUUGUUCGGAAUUAUUGGGCGUAAAGGGUGCGUAGGCGGUUCCGCAAGUCUUAUGUGAAAUCUUCGGGCUCAACCCGAAGUCUGCAUAGGAAACUGUCGGGCUUGAGUAUGGGAGAGGUGAGUGGAAUUUCCGGUGUAGCAGUGAAAUGCGUAGAUAUCGGAAGGAACACCUGUU